GGGACAUCUGAACCAACUUCUCCUAAGAGGAACAGAAGGAUGGGAGGACAUUUCAGGCAGAGGGAGUAACUUGUGCACUGGCCUGCAGGCUCCUAGUUUGUUCUGGGCAAGGAAGAGUCAGAGCAGGAGAAUGAGUCUUCGAUUAGGAAAGGCAUAUGAAACGACUUACAGAAAGCAAGUUAUACAAGGUCGCUGAACUGUAGCUGCCCCUGCAAUAGAAACCUAAAGAUGAACAAAGAGACCCCAUUACCAAGCAACAGAUAAGCAGAAGCCUUGAAGCACCACCACAUGUUGAGUGGAAGGAUGACAAGGGAAGAACAGAAAGAAAAAGAAGAUGCGUAAUGCUCCUUCCAGCACUGACGUUGCAUGAUUCCACGUGGCACGAGUUGUAAUUUAUAUGAGCUCGAGAAUAAGUCCCCUUCCGCCUCUCCCCACGUGCUUAUAACACACAGUGCGGGCUUCCCUCUCUCCAGAAAAACCUUCUCUCGGAUUCCAAGGCCCACUAAGUUGCCUCCCUCUGUGCUUCCUCCCACAUUUACCCUUGCUGUAAUGUUUUCUUAAUUUGUCUCCUCCGGUGAGUGUGGAGUGCUCUGAGGGCAGAAACUGUGUUUUAGUCAUUGUUGCAUUUCUCACAACUUUUGAGCACAUUGCUGGCACAGAACAGGUACAAAUGAAUGUUUAAUUUGAAUAUAAUGAGACUCCUCAAAGAAGAAUCUGCUUAUCAUGUUGAACAACGAAAUGAA